AUUGAACGCUGGCGGCAUGCCUUACACAUGCAAGUCGAACGGCAGCACGGGAGCAAUCCUGGUGGCGAGUGGCGAACGGGUGAGUAAAGUAUCGGAACGUGCCCAGUCGUGGGGGAUAACGUAGCGAAAGUUACGCUAAUACCGCAUACGAUCUACGGAUGAGAGCGGGGGAUCGCAAGACCUCGCGCGAUUGGAGCGGCUGAUAUCAGAUUAGGUAGUUGGUGGGGUAAAGGCUCACCAAGCCGACGAUCUGUAGCUGGUCUGAGAGGACGACCAGCCACACUGGGACUGAGACACGGCCCAGACUCCUACGGGAGGCAGCAGUGGGGAAUUUUGGACAAUGGGCGCAAGCCUGAUCCAGCCAUGCCGCGUGCAGGAUGAAGGCCUUCGGGUUGUAAACUGCUUUUGUACGGAACGAGAAGGUUUGGCCUAAUAAGCUGGUCCCAUGACGGUACCGUAAGAAUAAGCACCGGCUAACUACGUGCCAGCCGCCGCGGUAAGAC
rnacentral:rRNA from 1 species